AUUGAACGCUGGCGGCAUGCCUUACACAUGCAAGUCGAGCGGCAGCGCGGGGCAACCCUGGCGGCGAGCGGCGGACGGGUGAGUAAUACAUCGGAACGUGUCCUUUCGUGGGGGAGUAACCAGUCGAAAGACUGGCUAAUACCGCAUGAGAUCUCACGAUGAAAGCGGGGGACCGCAAGGCCUCGCGCGAUUGGAGCGGCCCGAUGUCGGAUUAGCUAGUUGGCGGGGUAAAAGCCCACCAAGGCAACGAUCCGUAGCU
rnacentral:rRNA from 1 species